AUUGGGACUGAGAUACGGCCCAGACUCCUACGGGAGGCAGCAGUGGGGAAUAUUGCACAAUGGGCGCAAGCCUGAUGCAGCGACGCCGCGUGAGGGAUGGAGGCCUUCGGGUUGUAAACCUCUUUUAUCGGGGAGCAAGCGAGAGUGAGUUUACCCGUUGAAUAAGCACCGGCUAACUACGUGCCAGCAGCCGCGGUAAUACGUAGGGUGCAAGCGUUAUCCGGAAUUAUUGGGCGUAAAGGGCUCGUAGGCGGUUCGUCGCGUCCGGUGUGAAAGUCCAUCGCUUAACGGUGGAUCCGCGCCGGGUACGGGCGGGCUUGAGUGCGGUAGGGGAGACUGGAAUUCCCGGUGUAACGGUGGAAUGUGUAGAUAUCGGGAAGAACACCAAUGGCGAAGGCAGGUCUCUGGGCCGUUACUGACGCUGAGGAGCGAAAGCGUGGGGAGCGAACAGGAUUAGAUACCCUGGUAGUCCACGCCGUAAACGGUGGAUGCUGGAUGUGGGGACCAUUCCACGGUCUCCGUGUCGGAGCCAACGCGUUAAGCAUCCCGCCUGGGGAGUACGGCCGCAAGGCUAAAACUCAAAGAAAUUGACGGGGGCCCGCACAAGCGGCGGAGCAUGCGGAUUAAUUCGAUGCAACGCGAAGAACCUUACCUGGGCUUGACAUGUUCCCGACAGCCGUAGAGAUACGGUCUCCCUUCGGGGCGGGUUCACAGGUGGUGCAUGGUCGUCGUCAGCUCGUGUCGUGAGAUGUUGGGUUAAGUCCCGCAACGAGCGCAACCCUCGCCCUGUGUUGCCAGCACGUCGUGGUGGGAACUCACGGGGGACCGCCGGGGUCAACUCGGAGGAAGGUGGGGAUGACGUCAGAUCAUCAUGCCCCUUACGUCCAGGGCUUCACGCAUGCUACAAUGGCCGGUACAACGGGAUGCGACGCGGCGACGCGGAGCGGAUCCCUGAAAACCGGUCUCAGUUCGGAUCGCAGUCUGCAACUCGACUGCGUGAAGGCGGAGUCGCUAGUAAUCGCGAAUCAGCAACGUCGCGGUGAAUGCGUUCCCGGGCCUUGUACACACCGCCCGUCAAGUCAUGAAAGUGGGUAGCACCCGAAGCCGGUGGCCCAACCUUUUGGGGGGAGCCGUCUAAGGUGAGACUCGUGAUUGGGACUAAGUCGUAACAAGGUAGCCGUACCGGAAGGUGCGGCUG
rnacentral:rRNA from 1 species